ensembl:lncRNA
ACGUUGCCACAGAUGUAGAUCCAAAAAGUUCUAAAAAGUGCCUUUAAGCGUUUUUUGGUCUCUGCAUAAAGGUCUCUAGUGUCCUUAAAGCUUCAGUCCUGUGUGGGAUCUCUGGGAAUAUGAGACUAAUAAUUAAGGUUAAAAGCCUGGCAGUCUUGGUAGUGCUGUGUAGCUGUAAAAGGAAGCUGAGACUUGAAUCAUGAGAAGAAGUGGUAGAAACCAUUUACGCUAGUGACUUUCUAUCUCUCUUGUCUGAGUUAAAGUGAGCCAAUUUUCCUUCCAGACCUGGCUAUUUCUUCUCAGUCUGCCACUUUGGAGACCCUCCUCUUCUCCAAAGGGAAGGAGCUGGGGAGAGGCUGGAAGACAGAGCUGGGGAGGCAGCACUCCUGACAGAGAAACAGCCCUUGCCACCAGGAUGGGUCCUCUACAGGUACACUGUGUGUCCUGGCUCCUCUCAGAGACAUUUGUUUUUCUCCCUUGGUUGUUACUGCUUUUCAGUCCUUUGAUGGUUUCUGCAAGGAUUUCAGAUUUACUUCAUUUUUUGGACAUAUUCAAGAGAAUGGAUUAUUCUUCCAUAUCCUUAUUUCUAGAAGGAAGCAGAUGCAGGUACUGCUGUUAGACCAUGGUACUAGCCUGUCUUGUAUUUUUCCUAUGCGGAAGUUUUACAUAGAAUGACAGAGAAAACCGAGUAUUGGCCAAUACAGUAGAUCACAUGAUUUUUCUUUUGUGUUUUGCAUGUCACUGUGACCUUCUUGUCUCCUUAGAAGCAGGUCAGGCUAUAGUGCCUCGAGCAGCACUUUUCUCUUGCCCAUAAACAGCAAGCCAGCAAUUACGGAAAGCCAUGGUUAUCUGAAUUGGUAACAUAGGAUUGGUAUAUAAUUGCACAGCGACCUAAGAGAAUAAGCUUAAAUGACUUUCUGCAUCUCUCUCAUCUCUUGUUAUUGCUUCUGUAAAUACAUUCUACGUUGUUUCUGUGAUUAGUUAAUUCUUACACGUGGAAGUUGCAUGCCUUGUGUCAUUUUUCAUAAGGUUCUCAAGAGCAGAUUGAUCAGGUGCUUUUAGGAGCAUGUCUGCCAUCAGCAGCUAAUGUUGCGGUUUAUACAGUGCUGAUGAGUAGUACAGAAACAGUUGAAAAAGGCCAGUUUUCUCAAUAUGUAAUUCCUCUGUAUGCAUGCUGCAUUGUCAUGGCCAAUUUUUGCCAGAACUGCUCUCCACUGCAUAUGCCUGUGUGCAGUAACACUCUAAUUCAGUAAGUAUUCUGGGAGCAUAUGUCAUUCACACCCAAAGUUCAUCAUAUUCUGGCACAUGCACUGAGCCUUAUGUUGCUUUUUGAGGUGUUUGUAGAAAACUUGCUCUGUCUUUUGGUGUAAAAGCAUGCAAGAAUGAUGGCUUCAUCUUAAGCCGUUCAAAGCAGAGAAGUCCCUUCUGGGGAGGCCAUUUCAGCUCCUUUUCUCUGUACAAGGACAUGAAGGUGAACAUGGGCUGACAAGACCAGUAUGAACAUUCCUCCAGAGUUCACUAUGCCUGCAUGCCACUGCAUUAGUUGUAUCUUAUUUUCACGCUUUCUCCUAGCGAUACUUUUUGCAUGACCUUCAAGUUAUCUCUUGAAUUUCGGUUCU